GACGAACGCUGGCGGCGUGCCUAAUACAUGCAAGUCGAACGCAGUGGGGACGGGUGAGUAACACGUGGGUAACCUCCCAUCAGAGGGGAUAACAAUUGGAAACAGGUGCUAAACCGAUACUGAUGGAUGGACCCGCGGUGCAUUAGCUAGUUGGUGAGGUAACGGCUCACUAAGGCCACGAUGCAUAGCCGCUCUGAGAGGAUGAUCGGCCACACUGGAACUGAGACACGGCCCAGACUCCGCCGGCAGGCAGCAGUAGGGAAUCUUCGGGAAUGGACGAAAGUCUGACCAAGCCACGCCGCGUGAGUGAAGAAGGUUUUCGGCUUGUAAAACUCUGUUGUUGGAGAAGCGGUAUCUAAACAAAAAGCCACGGAUAACUACGUGCCAGCAGCCGCGGUAAUAC
rnacentral:rRNA from 1 species